rnacentral:rRNA from 1 species
UCGAGAAUUUUUCUCAAUGGGGGCAACCCUGAAGGAGCGACGCCGCGUGAAGGAUGAAGGUCUUCGGAUCGUAAACUUCUGUCAUUGGUGAACAAGGCCCACGCAGUAACUGGUGUUGGGAUUGAUAGUAGCCGAAGAGGAAGAGACGGCUAACUCUGUGCCAGCAGCCGCGGUAAUACAGAGGUCUCGAGCGUUGUUCGGAUUCAUUGGGCGUAAAGGGUGCGUAGGUGGCGAGGUAAGUCUGGUGUGAAAUCCCGGGGCUCAACCCCGGAACUGCACUGGAUACUGCCCUGCUUGAGUACUGGAGAGGAGAUUGGAAUUUACGGUGUAGCAGUGAAAUGCGUAGAUAUCGUAAGGAAGACCAGUGGCGAAGGCGAAUCUCUGGACAGUUACUGACACUGAGGCACGAAGGCCAGGGGAGCAAACGG